rnacentral:rRNA from 1 species
GAUGAACGCUGGCGGUAUGCCUAACACAUGCAAGUCGUACGAGAGUUUUUAACUCUAGUGGCGGACGGGUGAGUAACACGUGAGAAUUUGCCUUUAGGAGGGGGAUAACAAUUGGAAACGAAUGCUAAUAUCCCAUAUGCUUUUGAGUGAAAUGGAUUUUAUCCGCCUAGAGAGAAGCUCGCGGCUGAUUAGCUUGUUGGUGAGGUAAUGGCUUACCAAGGCAAUGAUCAGUAGCUGGUCUGAGAGGAUGAUCAGCCACACUGGGACUGAGACACGGCCCAGACUCCUACGGGAGGCAGCAGUGGGGAAUCUUGGACAAUGGGCGCAAGCCUGAUCCAGCCAUGCCGCGUGGAUGAUGAAGGCCUUAGGGUUGUAAAAUCCUUUCAACGGGGACGAUAAUGACGGUACCCGUAGAAGAAGCCCCGGCUAACUUCGUG